rnacentral:misc_RNA from 1 species
UUGUGGAGGAGGACGCCGAAAGUGGGGCUAAUGACUGGGGUGAAGUCGUAACAAGGUAGCCGUACCGGAAGGUGCGGCUGGAUCACCUCCUAACAGGGAGACAACAAAAUGUUUAAUAUUAUUAUUUUGUCACCUUAGGUCGAUCGGUAUCUCACGUUCUUAAUUUAUUAAGAAUUUCAUUUCCUAAGUUUUUCUAGGUCACACCCAUUAUUUUUCCUGGGCCAUUAGCUCAGGUGGUUAGAGCGCACCCCUGAUAAGGGUGAGGUCCCUGGUUCAAGUCCAGGAUGGCCCAUAUCUCUAUGUUGGGGGUAUAGCUCAGUUGGUAGAGCGCCUGCUUUGCAAGCAGGAUGUCAGCGGUUCGAGUCCGCUUACCUCCACUGAUUACCACCUCUACCAUAAUUUGUAGAAAGGAAUGUUUUGAGUUGUGAUCAAAUUCUGAACGAAUCUAGCUUCCUAAUGAAAUCAUUAAGAUGCUGGACUCAUUGAAUUAAUUUCAUUGUUUUCAGAGAACCUUGACAACUGCAUAGAUUAUUUUUAAAGACAAUAAGCAUCUUUAAUGAUGCAGAUUUAUUAUUUGUGCUAAUGCAUUAAUAACAAUUCUAUUAAGCUGAUGCUUCAAUUUUGAAGUUAUUGGUCAAGCUACAA